UACGUAGUGGGCAAGCGUUGUCCGGAUUUAUUGGGCGUAAAGAGCGUGUAGGCGGCCAGACAGGUCCGUUGUGAAAACUCGAGGCUCAACCUCGAGAUGUCGAUGGAAACCGUCUGGCUAGAGUCCGGAAGAGGAGUGUGGAAUUCCUGGUGUAGCGGUGAAAUGCGCAGAUAUCAGGAAGAACACCUAUGGCGAAGGCAGCACUCUGGGACGGUACUGACGCUGAGACGCGAAAGCGUGGGGAGCGAACAGG
rnacentral:rRNA from 1 species